CAACAUUCUCAGACACAUGGUGGGAUUCUUGGUUGUUGUGUGCGGGGCUGGACUUUGAUAAUUCCUAACAAAUGCCUGCAGAAAUUAUUCCCUGUCUGUUCUGACAAUGGCCUGGCCAAAACACAUGUUUUUGCAUACAGUCAAUGUAAGAAGAGAAGCACAACAGCAUCAUGUGUCGGGAUUGAAACUCAACAGAAGACUCAAGGAAGGAGGAGAAAGGU